UACGUAGGGGGCGAGCGUUAUCCAGAUUUACUGGGCGUAAAGCGCGUGUAGGCGGCUGGUUAGGUGUGAUGUGAAAUCCUCGGGCUCAACCCGAGAACUGCAUUGCAAACCGGCCUGGCUAGAGUGCAGGAGAGGGAAGCGGAAUUCCAGGUGUAGCGGUGAAAUGCGUAGAUAUCAGGAAGAACACCCGUGGCGAAAGCGGCUCUCUGGAACGGUACUGACGCUGAGACGCGAAAGCGUGGGGAGCGAACAGG
rnacentral:rRNA from 1 species